ACGCUCGACACCUACGGGAGCAGCAGUGGGGAAUAUUGCACAAUGGGGGAAACCCUGAUGCAGCAACGCCGCGUGAAGGAAGACGGUUUUCGGAUUGUAAACUUCUGUUCUUAGUGAAGAUAGUGACGGUAGCUAAGGAGCAAGCCACGGCUAACUACGUGCCAGCAGCCGCGGUAAUCUGAGGCGGGCUGGCAAGGC
rnacentral:rRNA from 1 species